UACGUAGGAGACGAGUGUUGUCCGGAGUUACUGGGCGUAAAGGGUGCGCAGGUGGCGGCGCGCGUGGGGGGUGAAAUCGCCCGGCUUAACUGGGCGGGGGCCUUCCAGACGGCGUGGCUUGAGCAGCGGAGGGGGACGUGGAAUUCCGGGUGGAGCGGUGAAAUGCAUUGAGAUCGGAAAGAACACCAACGGCGAAAGCACUCUGCUGGGCCGACACUGACACUGAGAGACGAAAGCUAGGGGAGCAAAUGGG
rnacentral:rRNA from 1 species